AGAGUUUGAUCCUGGCUCAGAGCGAACGCUGGCGGCGUGCUUAACACAUGCAAGUCGAGUGCGCGCCUGUAGCAAUACAGGUGGCGCACGGCGCACGGGUGCGUAACACGUGGGUACCUGCCCUUUGAUGGGGAAUAACCCCGCGAAAGCGGGGCUAAUACCGCAUAAGAUCCGCAAGGAUGAAAGCCGAAAGGCGUCGAAGGAGGGGCCUGCGCACGAUUAGCUAGUUGGUAGGGUAACGGCCUACCAAGGCAAUGAUCGUUAGCUGGUCUGAGAGGAUGGCCAGCCACACUGGAACUGAGACACGGUCCAGACUCCUACGGGAGGCAGCAGUGGGGAAUCUUGCACAAUGGGCGAAAGCCUGAUGCAGCGACGCCGCGUGGGGGAUGAAGCUUUUCGGAGUGUAAACCCCUUUCGACCCGGACGAAUACCCUGCAAAGGGGGUGACGGUACGGGUAUAAGAAGCCCCGGCUAACUACGUGCCAGCAGCCGCGGUAAGACGUGGGGGGCCAGCGUUGCUCGGAAUUACUGGGUGUAAAGGGUCAGUAGGCGGUGUGGCAAGUCGGGAGUGAAAUCUCUGGGCUUAACUCAGAGACUGCUUCCGAAACUGCUGUGCUUGAGUGUGGGAGAGGCGCGUGGAAUUGCAGGUGUAGCGGUGAAAUGCGUAGAUAUCUGCAGGAACACCCGUGGCGAAAGCGGCGCGCUGGACCACAACUGACGCUGAAUGACGAAAGCUAGGGGAGCAAACAGGAUUAGAUACCCUAGUAGUCC
rnacentral:rRNA from 1 species